GUGCUCACUUCGGCAGCACAUAUACUAAAAUUGGAAGGAUACAGAAAUUAGCAUGGCCCCCAUGCAAAGAUGGCACACAAAAUGUGUGAAGCAUUCCGUAUUUUU